rnacentral:rRNA from 1 species
AAAAGAAACCAACCGGGAUUGCCCUAGUAACGGCGAGUGAAGCGGCAACAGCUCAAAUUUGAAAUCUGACCUUUUCAAGGUCCGAGUUGUAAUUUGUAGAGGGUGUUUCGGGAGCGGCGCCGGCCUAAGUCCCUUGGAACAGGACGUCAUAGAGGGUGAGAACCCCGUAUGCGGCCGGUGACCAACCCCGUGUGAAACCCCUUCGACGAGUCGAGUUGUUUGGGAAUGCAGCUCUAAAUGGGUGGUAAAUUUCAUCUAAAGCUAAAUACUGGCCAGAGACCGAUAGCGCACAAGUAGAGUGAUCGAAAGAUGAAAAGCACUUUGAAAAGAGAGUUAAACAGUACGUGAAAUUGUUGAAAGGGAAGCGCUUGCGACCAGACCUGCACGCGGGCGAUCAGCCGCCGUUCUCGGCGGUGUACUCGCCCGUCGCAGGCCAGCAUCGGUUCGAGCGGUUGGAUAAAGGUUUGGGGAACGUAGCUCUCUUCGGAGAGUGUUAUAGCCCCGAACGCAAUGCAACCCGCCGGGACCGAGGACCGCGCUUCGGCGAGGAUGCUGGCGUAAUGGUCGUAAGCGGCCCG